UUGUUUCCGCAGCGCUGCACCCGGACCUUUCUUCCCAUCAGAUCCAUCCCGUUGAGCCUCAGAGCCAGAUGCACAGCAUCCGUAUCCUACAGGGACAGACGUUCGCUUUGAAAGCUCCUUCCACACGAACAGCUGCCUGCCUCUAAUUUUCGGAAGCAGGUUUUCUACAAUAAGGAGCGCCCAAGCUGCUCUGUUUACUGAAUGACACAGCAGCUCUGCUUAGAAACACCAGCUUCCCCAGGUAGCCCACACACUUGAGGCAUAGAUACUUGAAAGUGGGCUGUGGAAUAGCUUAUGUGAGGUUGUAAAGGAAGAGAAAUUAAGGAGAAACUGCAGAAAAAAAUGUAUCAAGCUGAAGGUGAAGAAUGGGAUUGAUUGAAAAAUGGGAUUGUAAAUAAAUAACUUCAAGGACGUUAGGCUUUGUUAGCAACUAUAGAGAUAAGGAAAUGGCUAAGAUAAGCACUGCACAAGAACUGGCCAGAACCAGCCUGGUGGUUACUGACAUGACAACGAUCCUAAAACGAAGUGAUGUAGAGGAAGAUGAUGAAGAAAUAACCACCAGGGGUCCCAAAGCCCACUACCACAUUUUAGUGCACAUGCGGGAGGAAUUCUAGAAGCAUGACGUAAUAUAUAAGUAACUCAAUGAAUAUGUAUGUAAUCUAAUGAAUAUGUAUGUUUAAGGAAAUAUAAUCACAGCCUGGUUGAUGCUUGGAAGAGACACGCUAGGAGGAGCUAUCCCCCGUGCCUCGGAGGACUGCAAUAAAGAAUACCUUCUUGUCAACUUAAACUUUGUUGGCUAGUUCCUGGACAUUUCUCCGAAUCAAAGGAAAUAAACUAAGGAAGGCGAGGCUGGGAGACUGACAUGAGAAAGAAAGCUGAAAGAAUUGCACUCAUACUCGCACACGUAAGAAAUGGGAGAACACAGCAGUUAUAACAAGAGAACUUAUUUGUCCCUCCUUUAAGUCCUUCCCUUAAAGUUCAUUUCCUUCACCCCAAAGUUUUACAACUUUUCUUUGUACACAACCUAAACCAGUUUGUUUUGUCUCUGCUUCCACAGAACCGGUCUUCCAAGCUGCUUUUAACAACCAUACUACCACCACCACCAUUUAAUGUCACAUACAAAUAAAAAGUAAACGCCAUAAAGGCAAUCCCUGAAUUCAGAUGGUGAAGAACACCCAGUUCACACGUACCUCGAAGAGGACAUAGCCAAAGCCCUUCCCCAGGCCGGUGCUUCUGUCCCUCACGAUCCGCACUGCCACGACACCUCCACACACAGAGAAGUGCUCUCGCACAGCAUCGUCGCUGAUGUCUGCAGGCAAGCACAACAAAACAGAUGCCUCUUCCAUCAGGCACGCAGCCUUAGGAGCCUGGGCCAAACCCAAGUGUUUCGUGUUUACCAGUUUAGGUACACAAGCAUUAUAUAUUUAUAUGUAUAGGUACACAAACAUCAGUGGCUCAGAAACAUUCCAGCAAGUUAAGAGGGCAGACUUUACAAAGUGCUAUUUACUUCGAAAGUUAAAGAUUUUCUAGCUUUGAAGAGUAGAACAUAAACCACAAAGAAGAACAAAGGCAAAGACCAACAUAGUAUUUUCAAAUAAUUUCAUUUAUGGUUUGACUAUACUGGACAUUUAGACUGGUGCAGCUCUUUCUGAUGCCAGAAAUCUCUUUCUAGCAGAUAAUGAGCUUGCGCCAGCAGUUCCUGAAGUCUAAUGCUCACUGACAGCGCUGUGAAUUUUAGCUGAAUGGGGGAGAAGGAAGAACAUCUACAGUUUCCAACUACAGUUGCUGUAUGAUUAUUCUGAUAAGGGCCAGAUGCAUGAGGCUUUCUCAGUCUUGUGCCUACAUGAACAGACAAGCAUGACAUACCAAUACAAAACCACAGGUUGUUCUCUUUUCUGUGUAGGUAUGCUUCAUACUGUGGUAGAUCCCUUUACAUAAAUGUAACCUUGUCUCUGCUAUAGGGAGGGGCUGAAUGUAGGAGUACAAGUUUAAUCACAGCCAUGGGAGGGCUGAGAAAGGUUCAAGCUGCUGACUUCCCUACCACUGCAAAUGUCCUAACUGUUUUCUGUGCAGGAUGUCCAGAGGAAUAUGCAGACCUGACGCAAACUCUACACAUCAGGCAUUAGUAACAUCACCGCAGAUUUUUUACCUAUCUCAUUUUCAGACAGGUCCAGUUUAAGGCUGAAGUCUAAAGCCUAUUUGUUUUAGCAUUACUGUCAGCAGUACAUGACUGGCUCUGAAACAGGCCAUGGGCAUGGGGCAUGCCUUCACACCUUCAGCCUUCACACAUCCACACCACCCCCAAGUAAGAUGCUCAUUCCAAGCACCCUGACUCCAUGAAUACACUCCUGUGAAUCAUACCCGAUGGCAAUACCAUAUACUCUCCAGUCUGCUCAGCAGCAGCUGAACAUUGGUCAAGCACGGACCUCAACUAUAUAGUAAGCCCCUUCACACAGCUAACAACCGGUUGCCUAUAGCUGCCUGGACAGAGGCAUUCAGCCUGUGGCUCACAGACAGCAUCACAAUGAGAAGCCACCUUUGUGUAUCACUUGGAAGUAGUCCACAAACAGGUACCAGUACACAUUUAACAGUUAGGAAGCUAUGGCCUAUGCAGUUUAGUCAUACUUAUCUUAAAAACAUCCAGCACCAACAAGAGCUAAAGGUACCUGCAGUUCUAGCUACAAUCAAGAAAACAAUUAAUGUGCAGAACUUGCCAGUAACUUAUGGACCCUUUAGGUAUUUCAGUUAAAAAAUAAAACUGCUAUUUAAAAAAUUAA